ensembl:snRNA U6 U6 spliceosomal RNA
AGUGCCACUUUUGAGCACCCACUGAAGACAAGCUUCACCAAUUCAGAGAAGAUUAGCAUGGCCCCUGUGCAAGAAUGACAUGAAAAUUCAUGAAGCAUUCCAUAUUUUU